GUUAUCUUUUGGUUCGACUUCUGAGGUUCAGAUCGAGUGCUAGGUAGUUUUUUCGAACUGGUUGGUUCGACUUUUAAGAAAUUCGAGUUCUAAUAAGUUCGAGUACCGAGCUUGGUGCCUCUCCUUCAUUUUGUCGAGCGGAGCUGUAGUAGGCAGAAGCACUGGUUUCGCUGCUUCAUCUUUUCUCCUGUUUUAUAGGGAUUCAAUCUGAUAAUGGUCCGUGACUGGGACUUGUUACAGAUUUUUGGGGGCUCGUCCAGGAUCAGCGCCGCCUGUGUUUGGAGGACGUCGUUGAUCCAAUGAUCCAUGAACCUGUGGAC